AAAAGAUCAGGGCUCAAGGCCAAUCCUUAAUACCAUCCAACUGUGAUAGGACAUUUUUUCGCAUUCUCUUACCAUCUGGACGCUGGUGACUGCUUCUUUAUACAUAUCCUUGUAAUGUCCCCAAAAGCCCACUUAGUUUUGUGCAUGGUGAUUUAAUGUGCCUUGCCUAGUAAAUUAUACAGCCAUGGUGGCUCACUCAACUAUUCUGCGUCAUCAUUGUGUGGGUUGAUAUUUGAUUAAAAUAGAUAUUUUUAUGCACUCACAUUCACUGCUAAAAUCUUCACAUUUUGUGUUUGUCUUGAUUGUGAGCUACUGUUUUUUUCAAUCUGAUA
rnacentral:misc_RNA from 1 species